rnacentral:lncRNA from 10 species
UCUCUAUCAACGUUGGUGUAAAAGGACCCUGCCUUUUAGCAGCUCAUUCCGCCCCCAACAAAAGACUACACUUCCCAGCGACCCUUGCAGACCCGAAAAGCCGGUUUCCACACCCCGAGGCUCUCUCAUGCCCUUCUCCCAGUCACUAUGCCUAGCCCCAGAUAACCACUCUUCUGUCCUCUAGCACCUCCAUCACCAGUUCCUGGACUUCAUGAAGGGGAAGUGUAGCCCCAGACUUGCUGUUGGAACCCAGCUGCUGUGCUAUCAGGAAGUCCGGGCUACAUGAAGAGGCAACAUGGAGUGUUCUGGUCAACAGCCCCAGCUGAGGGCCCAGCCAACAACUAGUGUCAACCGGUAGAUAUUUCAGUGAAGCCUUUAAGAUGAAUCAAGUACCAGCCCCUAUCUCCCUGCAACUGUAUCAGAGAUCCUGAGAGAACUAUACCAACCAAUUUCCAGAACCACGAAAAAGUAAAGCAAAAUGUCGUCGUGCUAAGCCACUAAGUUUUGGAGUGAUUAACAGUUGUAAUGGGGCCCUCUCCUUCCCCACCCAACUUAUCCUAUUCUUCUUUUCUUUUCUUUCUUUUUAUUUAUUAUUUUUUGAGACAGUCUUGCUUUGUCACCCAGGCUGGAGAGCAGUGGCGCAGCCAUGGCUCACUGCAACCUCUGCCUCCCAGGUUCAAGUGAUU